CUAUUUGGUACCGCUUGCAGGGCGGCGACCACGAGUUACCUGCCCCUAUACAAUGAGUUAAUUGCCCCUGUAUUUCAUCUGUUAAGUUGUACUUAAAAUAGGCUAACUCUUGCGCAAAAAAAGAUAGAAAAUAUCAAAUAUGGGAAAGCGGGACGAUAGACCAAACAUAUCUACGAAGAGACCGUUGGUGCCGGAAAUAUCUCUGUCUUUAGUAGUGUCCGCGAGGUAUAUUAAUUUAUAAAACAUGAGAUAUUAGUACCAUAUUGCCCGGGAAUCAAAAGAUUUUUGCAAGAUCGCAGAAUUCAGCUAGACACAAAAAAAAAAGACAAUCACUACAGCCUUCCAAGAAGAUGGACUGCCUCACAAUAGUUUCCUUGAGGACUGUCUUGAAAUAUCCAGAGUUUAAGAAGUAGACAAUUUGAAAGUGAAAAGGAAGUGCCAGGAAACGUCAGAAUGCAGGACAGAAUGCAGGAGUUGCACCAUUUACCCUACAGCUUCUGGGGGCCUAGGCCGCCCCCAACCUACUGGGAGUAACCUCUCUCUCUCUCUCUCUCUCUCUCUCUCUCUCUCUCUCUCUCUCUCUCAUUUCUUUGGGAUAUCAGAAAAAGAUAGCGGAUAGACGUUGUGAAAAGUAUCUAAACGAUCAAGUGCUGGACCCCCCCCCCCCCCCCCCCCCCUUCCACUUCAAAAAUUCCUACACCCGCUUCUGUACAAGAUAUACUUCACAAGAGAUAGAAUCCGGCAGUAACUCGAAAAUCCAGGUUUUCUGCAACUCGUCGUAGUUACUUCAGUGUGUAAUUUUUACGACAAGUUUAAUUUUUAGUGAAUUACAUUCUCAAACAAAUGUGAUAAAAGUUGAUGAUCAGACAUCGUCAUAUUCCACUUUUCCCCUCUCUAAAUAUAACUAUGAUCAUUUGACCCAGCUGACGUUUUUGUGAGCAAAAUAUUUACGAAGGUAAUGUGACCAGGGUUAAAUACUAGAUGAUACAAAGAGAAGAAAUAAUGGAGUUUGAAUGAUAUCAAUGAUGUUUAUUUGUGUUUGAAUGCAUGAUGGUGAUCAUUGUACAUUGAUAAAGUGGCUUUUUAUAGGAUCCGAAACAGUGACAUGUGAGAAAGUUGGUUGGCGGGGAUUUCUACUUUCACUUUUGAGGAUGCAGUAAACGGACGACAGGAGGGGAAGCUGCGCAUUUCCUCGUUGGAUGAUUUGUGUACAUGUGUGGACGUGGAUGUCAUUUCAGUGAGUUCACUUGGAUUUGAGAGGCUGAGCAAAGGCACAAAGAAAUUGUUUCCUGAGUAUAGAGUCUGAAACGAGGAUAUUGCAUCAUUCCUGAUCAGGCAAGUCUGGCUUGUUCAUUUAUUUCAUUUAUCAUUUCUUUUUUCUUUUUUUUUUUGAAUUAUUUUUUUAUUCAUUUAUUGGUUUACAAUAUUACAGAAGGUGAAAUGUACAUGUUUAACUAUUUCUGUGUAUCAUGUAUGUGUAUUUGUUUUAAUUUUUAAUUUUCUUUGGGGGGGGGGGGGGGGGGGGAGGGCUGUUAUCAGUUUGUGUAGAGUGUCAGUUUUGUGUAUUACUUAAAGAUCAGUACCAGUGUCCUACUGUUGAACAUUGGGCAGAUAUGUAAAUUGGCACUUGGUUGGUUUAUGCAGUCCUCCUUGACAUUGACAGGGCUUUCCCAUGGAGACUGUUUUCCAAGUUAUGCUAGAGUGUCAGUCAUCUAUCUGUGUCUCGCAAGUACUUGGUGCAGACAGCUAUCAUGCUGAAUCCCGUUAAGGAAGGGGAUAUAGACUUCCUUUGGAAUGACGUACAUACUCAAUGUUAGAGGGAGGUUGCCUUAUAAAUUGGUACCUGUUAGAGGGAGAGUGCUUUAUUAGUUGGUACCUGUUAGAGGGAGAGUGCUUUAUAAGUUGGUACCUGUUAGAAGGAGAGUGCUUUAUAAUCUGGU